GACGGAAGGUGCAAGCGUUGCUCGGAAUCACUGGGCGUAAAGGGUGCGUAGGCGGGUCUUUAAGUCAGGGGUGAAAUCCUGGAGCUCAACUCCAGAACUGCCUUUGAUACUGGCGAUCUCGAGUCCGGGAGAGGUGAGUGGAACUGCGAGUGUAGAGGUGAAAUUCGUAGAUAUUCGCAAGAACACCAGUGGCGAAGGCGGCUCACUGGCCCGGUACUGACGCUGAGGUGCGAAAGCGUGGGGAGCAAACAGG
rnacentral:rRNA from 1 species